AUCAAAAAGUACUGAUAAAACAGUCAAGCCAUUACAGAUAAUCAGCUUCAGACAGAUGUGAUGGUUUAUUUCUUGGAGACCUCCGAGGAACUGGCAGAGUUUGUACGCACAUUCUCAAAGGCUGUGGCAGAGAAACCUGCGAAGAAAGAUCGAUUACAGACAGCUGUCUUUGAUGAUGGUGUAUCUACAGUAAAAGUUGACAAGAAUGGACAAGGUUUUCUGAGGGUUUGGAAGCAACAGCUGCUGCAGUUUAAGAACAUCAGACCUGACAUUGCUGAUGCUAUUAUACAGGCAUUCCCUUCCCCUCUUACUGAUAGAGGUAAGACGAGGAGCUGGUGUGUUGGAGACGUCGCGCAGAGUGGGAAAGGAGAUGUCACGGAGAUUCUGCACUUUUGUGACCAGUUCUAA
rnacentral:sRNA from 1 species